rnacentral:lncRNA from 1 species
UCUACCGGCGGGCCCCCACUUGCGACAAGACUUCUCCAUCCGGAUCCCACUCGGUACCUUCUAUACCUAUUGUAAGCCAGGGGUUGGCAUAUAAAGCUCCAUGGCACUGCCCCAUGCAAGGGCUUGGCUGAUCACACACCCACACAUGCAGGAGAGGCAAAGAGAGCUCCCGCCUCCUUCUCCCUCCUCCAUCACACAACUCAAGGAGCAUAUGGUAUCCUCAUCCGGAUUAUCAACCAACUCAAGCAGGACUAGGGGUGUUACCUCCCAUGGAGGGCCCCGAACCUGGGUACUUCGUGUGUCUCGCACCACUCGUUCCUAAUCCCGUUUCCGGAGCCCGGCGGCGUCCUUUCGGUCCCAACCACGUUCGAUUAGCCACCCCAUGGCAUCUGUAGUGAGAAAAUGAUAACAGAACCCUAGUCCUUAUUUCCAAGCAUUUAUAUAAUGUUUUCUCAUUGUUUUCCACUUGUUACGUCUCUGAUUUUAUUUAUUCAGAUCAUAAGAAUCUAUUUUUACUAUCCAUACU